rnacentral:rRNA from 1 species
UACCAGCUCUCCGAGUGGUAGGGAUGAUUAUUGGGCUUAAAGCGUCCGUAGCCGGCUUAGCAAGUCUCCUGUUAAACUCAGCGACCUAAUCGUUGAAUCGCGGGAGAUACUACUAGGCUAGGAGGCGGGAGAGGUCGACGGUACUUCUGGGGUAGGGGUGAAAUCCUGUAAUCCCGGGAGGACCACCAGUGGCGAAGGCUGUCGACUAGAACGCGCUCGACGGUGAGGGACGAAAGCUGGGGUAGCGAACCGGAUUGGAUACCCGGGUAGUCCCAGCUGUAAACGAUGCGGGCUAGGUGUUGGGAUGGCUACGGGCCAUUUCAGUGCCGCAGGGAAGCCAUUAAGCCCGCCGCCUGGGGAGUACGGCCGCAAGGCUGAAACUUAAAGGAAUUGGCGGGGAGCACCACAAGGCGUGAAGCUUGCGGUUC